GACGAACGCUGGCGGCGUGCUUAACACAUGCCAGUCGAACGGAAAGGCCCUGCUUUUGUUGGGUGCUCGAGUGGCGAACGGGUGAGUAACACGUGAGUAACCUGCCCUUUACUUUGGGAUAACUUCAGGAAACUGGGGCUAAUACCGGAUAGGAGCUCCUGCUGCAUGGGGUGGCUGGGAACUUUUGGGGGGUGGGGUGUGGACGCGGGUUUUAUCGUCUUUUGGGGGGGGUUGGGGUUCACAAAGGUUUUGGGGGGUCGCGGGCGUGAGGGUGUGACCGGCCAUAUUGGGAGAGAGAUACGGCCCAGACUCAUACGGGAGGGAGCAGUGGGGAAUAUUGCAAAAUGGGCGGAAGCCUGAUGCAGCAACGCCGCGUGCGGGAUGACGGCCUGGGGGUUGUAAACCGCUUUCGCCUGUGACGAAGUGUGAGUGACGGUAAUGUGUAAAGAAGCACCGGCUAACUACGUG
rnacentral:rRNA from 1 species